rnacentral:tRNA from 1 species
GACACGAUAGCUCAGUUGGUGAAGCCAUUGGAACUCGAUAUUCUGAAGAUUGCUGGUUCGAGACCCGCUCGUGUCG